UGAAUCAGCAGAAACGCCGGGCUUUAUUGCUCGUCCGUGGAAGCGCGACACCCGGGGUGGGGGGUGGGGGUAGUGGUGCAGAACCGCUGCUGCUCUUUAGCCCCCAGCCUGCCCGUCCUGUCCCACGCGUGUCCCCGUCCCGUGUGUCCCGCGUCCCCCCCGCCCCCCAUCCCCCGGGCGGCGGUCGCGGCGCGCGGCCCCGCGCCGGCCGGAUGAUGCAACGCGGCCCGGCUCCAUGUGCUUCCCCUCCCCCGCCCCGGCCGCGGCGGGCGCCGGGCUCCAGUUUUUUCCGCCUGGAGGGUCACCCGGCGGCUGAUUGAUUCUCCUUUCGCCCUGCUCAGUCAUUCGGGGUUGGAAAGUAAAUAACAAGUUGACAUCAUUACCGCGCUCCGCAGUGCCCCGCCGCGCCGCGCCGCUACCGCCCGGCGACGAGUAGCUGCGCACCCAAAAUCCCCGCCGCACCGCGCCCGGGCCCCGGGCCUGCUCCCGCCCGCCGAACCCCGGCACGGCGAGGCCUGCUGCCGCCCCCGGCUCGGCUCGUACCUCCGGAGCGGGGGCCCGCCACGCUUUUUGGGGCCGUCGCUGCGCCGCGACCCCCCCUCACCCCGCCCGGCCUCACGGCUAAUGUCAUGCAAAUUAUAAGAUUAUCUGGAUGUUGCCCGGGUGUUCUGCCUCGGUGGGCUCAUCCUGGUGACAGCGAGACUUCACCCCCCGCCCCGAAACUCGUAUUUAUUAGUGGUUUAUUUUUCCAAAUGACCUUUCUGGUUUUUUUGCCUUUUUGGGGUUUUAUUUUGACAUGAAAGGGAAUGUCAUGCUCUUUACACAUCUAGCCCAGAACCUACAUACGUGCUGUCACCGAGAGUUCUUAUGGAAAAAAUAUGACGUCACCCGAGGCAAGCAAAGAUCAUCACUACACACGUUCAUGUAUGUUUUGAAACAACUCUCAGAACACCGGGGAAUGUUAUUGCGGGCUAAUGUGGCUCAUUUUCACGUUCAGAGCCCGGAGAUCGCAGCGCAAGGCCAUCACACAGGCGUGCAAACAAACGUCUCCUGUUCUAAAUCAGCUCCCAUUUUUCUGACUUAUUUUUGAAAUCAAAACCUACAUUAGGUUUUCAUUACUUGACAAUGUAAACAAAAGUCCCUCCUGGUUUACAGUGAGAUGGCAGUGACUUUUUUGUUCUGGUGCUUUUUGUUUAUUUGCUGUCUUUUAAAGUGCUGCGGGCUUCCAAGUGAGGUAAACUCAUCAGAAAAUGGUCCUAAAUCAAGACUUGCCUAGCUUUUGAGGCUUGGUGUCCCAGCAAGGAGGCUGGGACUGUUCCCACUCCUGUGUUCUGCAGAGAGCAAUGAAGCUCUCACCCCCUCCAUCAGGCCCAGGGUCCUUGCUGCAUGUUUGAUUUUUCACUGCUGAGGAGCAGCACGUGCUCAUCCUAUGCCACCUGGAUGCUCUGGCUCGAACCUCCAGCUCAGUAAGCCCCCGCGUCCCGGCUAAUUUUCAAAUUAAUUUUCAAUUAAAAUAAGAAAAAAAACCCCAAACAAACAAACAACUGUAAAGUGAUGGUAGAGUAAAAGAUAGAAGAAUGAAUCGUGGCUCUGGCCAUUACAGUAUUUUUGGCCUUUGUGUAGCAGAAGACCCCAAAGCGACCAUGUAUAAAAGAAAUCACCAGGUUUUUGAGAGUCUUGGUUUUUCGGUUUCAUAACUCAUGACGCAGCAGCGGUGAUCAGUGGCAAUGCUACGGCCCUGCAGCUCCAAACGAAGGAAGCCAGAGUUGUGGUUUCUUACCCUCAUUAAAAUGGAAACCUAAACCUGAAACAAUCAAAGUCAAGGGCUAGCAGGGUUGGCCUACUGUGGAGAUAAUGGGAUCAUAAGACAAAAUAUUUUGCAUUUUGAAAGAUGAAAGACAUUGUUAUUUUUCUAGUGCUUCAUCGUCACUGUGUUGGUAACUGUUUCUAACUAGGUUUUUCCCCCACACUAUGUUUUUCAGUUCUCUGUCUAUGCAGAUGAAAGUAAGGUCUCUCAAAUAAGUGAAUCAUUCAAAAAUAAAUAAUUUGUUCUACUUUUAUGUAGCUGUAGGUAAAUAAUUCUCCUCACAUAAAAAUCUGAAAUAUGGAUUAAUUAUUUACUCCUGCUAUGAACUGUAAAAAAUGUGGGUCUGCUAAUGUGCUAAUUAAAUUUUUAAGAGACUUAAUAUACAAAAUUUUGAUAUGAUAGUGAAAACUGAACUGGUGUUUUAUCUUGAAUAGAUGCCUCAAGACUAUUUGGGUAGAGGUGCAGUGUGCAAUUCUUACGUUGUAAUACGUAGAUACUCUAUAAACUGAAAUGUGACAUGGUAGGCACUAGUUCUGCAACACUUAGAAAUAAGUUAAACAUAAAUGCCUAGCUUUCCUAUUAUGAGUUGUCCUGCCAGACAAUUUGUGGAGGGAGAGUGAAGACUUUUAGCACAUUAUUGUUGUUGUUAUUGUUGUUAUUAUUAUCAUCAUUAUUAUUGUUAUUAUUAUUUAGCACACCUGUGGUGGCAAGCUUUUACUUCUAUGUGGGCAUCUUUACAGUAUUUGCUAUUUUUCAGAUAAAUGUUCUCAUAGAAUCACUGAUGUGAGCAACUGCUACGCAGCAUCAAAAACUGGUUUCUCAUUUAGCCACUUGUUAAUACAAGAAUUUCACUUUUAAAAGGAAAUUCUGAUUGACUAAGAUACUUUCAGGAAUUGAGACAAUCACUGGUAAUUUUUUUUCUUCACGUAUUACUUCACUGAUAUCUUUGGACUAGACUGAAAGCUUUUGCUUAAUUCAUGAACAGUUGUGCAAGCAGACCCCUUGAGUAAAAACAACAUUAUCACAAAUCAAAAAGCAAAGCAGGAGACCUUGUUUCAAAGUUUUUGGAAGGCAAAACUGUCAAGAAUAUUUUGAUUUUGCAAAGCAAGCAUGGUCUGACCCUUUUUCUACCCUCUCUACCCUUUUUCUCUCCAUGGUUUGCUUCAUAUAGCUUGUAAUACCUGCAUUUCCUAGUGGUAUUUUUUCACCCACCUUUUUGAGAUGUGAAGAUCUAGAUUCCUUGGACUUGAACCGGAAUUCAAUUGACUCUGAUAGGAAUCUAAUAGUUUCUGAUAGGAAUUUUGAUGCUAUUACACUGUUGCAGAGGUUGCAAACUGGGAUGUGCUAUUCACAGUUUCUUCCCUGUGCCGUUAUACAAUCAAUGCAUAUCUUCCGCUGCUCAGGGACACUGCAUAUUAGGUAAGCGUUAUGCCGAGUGUAUUUUUGCUUCUUGAUAUAAGAUGAUAAGAACAUACUCAGUGAUCCUUCCAAAGUACAGUUGCAAAAAUCAAAGUAAGUUAGGGCAACACUCCUAUUUACUAUAUUGUUUCAUAUGUGGAACAUGUAUUUGUUAUUACUUAAGGUAAAAUAAAUCAGAAACUUUGAUGCAUGUAAUCUACACUCCUCUGAUUGUUUAGUGGGCUGACACAAAGGGCUGAGCUAGCUGUAUGUGUCCCUUAGGAUCCUCAGAUGGAACAGAGAUUUUUUUUAUGUUGCUCUAAUUUACUCUUAGAGACAGUUUGGCCUCCUGCCAGUCUGGGAUAGAAAGAAGAGGGAGGUGAUCAUCUCUUUCCUUGUCUUCCCUCAUCCAUGCAGUGUUGCAUGGCCCCAGCUGUGCUGAAUUAAUGCCUGGGACAGCUUAUGAUGUCAAGCCUUUUUUCCGCCCAUGAAAGAUUUUAGAAGAGAAAGCAGUUCUACCUAGGAGCUGGCAGCAGUGAGUGAAACACCUAGAGAAUUAACAGGAUCAGAUCCCCUGUGGAGAAGCCAGACUUAGGCAGAGGUUGUGCUGUGGAUGUGAGAGAUGUUAGCCAUGUAUCAUCUCGCUCAGUUGCUUGGGCAUUCUGGAGGUACAUGAGUCCUGAGCGUUGUGACGGUGCUGUCGGAUGUCCUGUAAGGAUAAUCUUACCUUCUGAGGCCAGCAGCAGGAGCAGCCCUGCUAGCAUACUUCUCAACGUGGCUAAAGUGAGGUGGGAACCAGGAGCCUAGCCCUGGAGAAGACUUAGCCUUCCUGAAGAGCUCUUGUUAAUACAGAUUAUAGAAAGGGCCCAGUGGGGACCUUUUCAGGAAAGCCUCGAGGAGAGACCAGUCCCUCUCACGAGAAGCGUGCAUGCAAAAGAGCAAGCAAACAAGAGUUUCAUGGAACGAGGCGUGUCUGUCUACAUAAGCAAGUAGAUCAGUGCAGGUGGGUAGGAUGAAACAGUGGUUGUAAGGACCAAACAUCUGCAUUGCACCAACAUCUGCCUCCAGAUGCCUCUUGGGGCUGGGGGUGUCGAGCCCCAGGCUGGUCCUGCAGACUGCCUGAUGGUGGUCGGUUGGGAGCAGCUUGGACACGCUCCUGAGGUGCACCAGUUGGGUUAGUUUCACCAAAAGGGAAACCAGUUCUCAUGCUCAGAAACCACUCUGCUCUGCGUACCAAAGCACAGUAGGGGAGGAGAGUCAGGAGAUUAAUUUUAGAAGAGCACUCCUGAUUUAGACUAAGAGUGGUGUAGAUGCAGUCUGCCAUAGUUCCCUGUUUCUACUGACAUUGCCUUGUAUAAUAUUUUACACUUUAAAAGGUUCCCCUUAAUUCAGUGGAAUUACUCAGGAUUUAAAGCAUGAUUCACUGUUGUAAAAUGUACAACAUAUGGAUUGCUUCCCUUGCUAAAUGCAAAAUUUUUGUCUCAAGAAUUCUGAAAUGGCUUUUCUUUACACAAUCUCUAUGGCUACUGAAGCACACAAGGUGUGCUGUAUCGCUUCUAGAUGCAAGCUGCUAUUUUUGGCAACAAUGAGUAGAGUGGUGAAGGAUUCUGAAGAAGCUCACAUACAUGAUGCUAACGCUGGCAGAAAACUAACCCGACUGGGAGUGCCUCACCUGGUGCCACAGCCGAAAGAGCUGCUGUGACUACUGGGUACGCAGAAGGGGACACGUAAGGAAAGAGAACAGAGGUUAUGCUACCUGGCACUGGUGGGGUGACUACUGGUGGGAGUAAAGUAGUCCUAUUUAGUUAUCUUCAAGAUAGGAUGUCGAUAAAUUGGAGGAAUUACAAAGAGUACUGAUAAUGACGAAAGGAAUGGAAAAUGGCUUACUUGUAAAGAUAAGGAUCUGUUUAACUUAUCGAUGAAGUAACUCAACCCUCUGGAAGAACCAAGGUGUGCGAAAAGAGCUAGCAGAGAUUCUUCAAUUUAUCACACAAAGGUAGGGAGAUGCACAGCUAGAAGUUACAAAGCAGCAGGUUUUUAAGGACAGAGAAAAUUAACCAGCGAAAUCACUGGUAUGGAUAUUCUUUAACUGGAAUCUUAAAUCAAGCAUGGCUACUGAGUCUCAAAAGGCACCAAGAAGUCCUGUGGCCCAUGUUACGAUGUUAUACAGUUAAAGCAAACUAUUGCAAUGGUGUUUUCUAGCUUUAAAAUCUUCAAACACAGACCUCUGAGAAGUGGCAUUUUUAAGAACCAAGUGUUGUUGGCUAACUAUUUACUUACCAGUCUAAUACAAAUUUCCGUCAAGCCUAUUGUAGAUAACCUAACAACAGAGGAGUUUUACUUUGCUUUCCCAAUUUGCACAUGCAUUAUUUUUACAGGUGUGUGCAAAGUGACUGUUUUUCUAUUUUUAACAGGAAUAGCUUUGUUUAAAACAAAGAUUUUCGCUGAAGUUUUGGGAUAUUUUUCUUUUCGUAUCCUAGAAGUUAUCUCUAGGACCUUACCCAAGACAGGGAAGAAAAACAAAGAAAUGUGUAAUAUCCAAACUCUUUGCUGUAGCAGUAAACCAAACUAUUACAAGUGUAAUGAGUCAGACCUGCUUUUCAGUUUCAAUUUCCAUGUGGCUGUAGUUGACCUCAUGCAGUUUACAGCCUCUAUUCACAGGGUGCAGUGCUCUACAUGAACAUGAAUAAAAAUACAUGAGAGGGAGGAGAAACUCAGCUUAUUUUCGAUGAUUAAAUUUAAAAUGUAGUACUAGUAAAUGUUUAAAAGACAGUUAUAAUACUCAAAAUGCAGUAAAAAUCAAUAUUUUAAAAGUAAAAAUAGACUUCCUAAUUCCACCCUUUGGCCAGCUGUUAAAAAAUUGGGUAUUUACAUUAAGACAUUCAGGCACCAAAUGUAUUUUUAGUCUCUGUCUUGUUCCCCUUGAAAUCAACAGUGGUUUUGCACCUACUUCAAUGGGAGUAUAAUAAGGCCCUUCAUUUACAAUACCUUAUAACUACUGGGAAAACAGUGGAUACAAUCAGGAUGAACGAACCUUUAGUAAGUAAUCUUUUUUUUGUACUAUUGCAGUUCCUAAAUAACACAGAAAGUCAUUUGAAAGACUGAGCAGUGAUGGAGAAACAGGUUCAUUAAAUCAGUACAAAUCUCCAUUACAACCAAAACAGUUCCUUAAUUCUUUACUGUCCUUAUUCUAAACCCUAGUAUUCCUACUUCCAUCUGUCAGUGCUGCUAAGUGAGAAGUUCCUUUCUUCCUUCAUUCCUUCCUCCCCCCUCCCUGUCUCCAUCCUCAUUGCAUUAGCCCCCCAGGUAACCCAUUUUUGCUGCAGCCCCACACCACACAGAUGCUGCACCUCAUCCUUUUCAUUGAACCCUACAGUGCUGACAUUUUCUCACUAAUUUGAGCAUUUCCCUUGAUGUUGGUAUUAGAAACACAAGUUAGGAAAGAUAAUUGGAAUGAAGUAGUUUCUGUAUGCCCCUUAGCCAUCUUCCUUGAAUAUCUUCCUGGUGUGGCUGAGUUUUAACUACACAUUUUGAGAAUUCCAAAACCAGGUUUGACAGCUUUUGCUUCAGACUGUAGCUUCCUUGCGUUGUGUCAUGGUAAGUUUGUGACUGGCAAUAUUUUCACAAGCUGCAGUUGCUUAUGAUUCCUCUGUGUAAUUUGCUCUGUGUAGACUGCUGACUUUUUUCUUUUUUUCUUGAUAAAGAGCAGAAAUAUUAAAAGGACAUAAAAGAGUACAUUGUUUUGUGUUUUCUGUACUAUAUUCUUUUGUUCUUUUAUUUUCAAGACUUUAAGCAUUUCAUUUAAAUUCAAUUGAAAUUUUGAAAUGAAGGAUGCAAAUCUGUGAGUCAGCUUGAAAUAUUUUGAAUCAUUUACAUAAGCUUCCUCAUUAUAAAAUUAUUUCUUCAUGUAGCCUUAGAACAGAAUUAGCUUGUCAGCCCUAAGCUUUUUCUUCUUUUUUUAAGGAUGCUGACCAUCUAAUGCUAACUAACUUAUCUAAGUGGCAUCGCUAACUCUGUCAAUCAUGCAAGACUGGAGAAAACAUAACUGAGAAGUGAGUGCCAGGAGAAGCUAACCAGCUUGCCUUCCAUAAGGGUGAGCUUCUGUGGAAGCUUCCCGAUUGCCUGCAAAGUCACAGAUUGCCCAAAUCUUUCUGGAACAGCCAGUCUGGACCUGCACAGGCUUUGGUGAAAGCGUAACCCUGCUCACUGGACUACGUCCAUCAUUAUGGUCAAACUGCUGGGAGGUUUCUUACUCCAACAGGUUGUGAAGCAAAUGGUCCGGAUUGUAAAUUUAUUUGUCAGGCCCGAGUAAGGUUAUUCUGACUUGAAAUUCCUGACUUGGGCAAGAAGGAAACAUGCUAUACAGUGGGUCAUGGUAAGACAUAGCAUCUUUUCCCUGAGUUCUGCAUCCCUUCAGCCAUUCUUAAAGGUGCAGUUAUAGACUGGAUCGCUCCUUGCUCUUCCUGUGACUAUCGUCACCCUUUCCCACCUUACUUGGCUCGCGGUGGGGGCAUCUGAUCCAAUCUUCCUACACACUCAAACAUAUGGAUUCAAGAUGUGGGCAGAUGUGGGCUGGUCUUGCAGAAGGAUAUUGUGUUUUUUACUUUCUCUGAAACGAAUAAGCAAUUGUCACAAUCCAAGCUAUUGUGCUGAAUUUUUUAAAAAAACAAAGGUUAUAAAAUGGGAGACUGUGUAUGGGUGGCAAAAUCAGGCACUAGGUAAAUGUGCAGAGCAGGAAUAUGCUUAUUAAAUAGGCAACAGAGAAUUAGAGGAAACUAUUGCAGUUUACAUUCAAGUAUAUUAUGGGGCUGUUUAUAGGGCCCAAAAGAACUUCCCGAGCAUUAACACAUGCAGUAUGAGACACAGAGGUGGUAGAAUCUAUAUAAAGGUGAAUAGACACGUAAAACCAGAAUAACUUGUUAGCAUUUACAUUGUUGCUGCCUUGAGGCUGUGGCAGCUAUUUCACCCGCCUUUUAGAAAUUCAUUCAAUGUUUUUUUUUCUGCAGGGUGGAUUAAAAGACAGCAUUUUUUUAAGGUCAGGGAAUAAUAUCAAUGAUAAAUCAAGCUAAUCUUAUGCUAUUAUUUCAGAAUAAUGAAGGACACAUGUAAGAACCCUAUAGAGAAAGGUACUGUUACAAAUAAUGGAUUAUGAAAGGAGGAGGGGAAGGUUGGGUUUAUGUUCUUUUUCCUUCUCUUUAAUUAUAAAGAUCAGAUGACAUACAUCUCUCUGGAUCUAUACAUUUGUGUCGUGGUAGAAAUUAAUCUCUUAUCACCCUUUCCUAGGCAACUCCUCAGAGUCUCCAGACUUGUGGACAAAGAAGAAAAGGAGAAAAUUAUGACAGCAGAAAAAAUCUGUGCAAAUAAAUCCUGAGUAAUGAGAGGGAAAGUGAAUUUUAUUCACACUGUUUGGUUUUGACUUUUAACUCAAGUACUGAAAAACACUCAGGAGAAAAUUUAUCUCUCUGUCUUUCUUCAGGGCAGAAAAAGUUCAAAGCGAACAUGUGAGAUCUCUGAUGACUCCUCGAGCAAAGUCACGAGAGAAUUAGUCUUCCUGGUAGCUUAAAGGUGAAAAAAAAAAAAAAACACAAAACCAACCAAAAAGAAAAUCCCUUCCUCUUACACAUUUUAUCUUGCAUUUAACCUCCUUCAUAAAUUAUUGAGAAACAUGCCAAUUAAUAGCUUAUCUUUUAAAACAUUCUUAUCUAGAUUUUUUUUUAACAAAUAGAGAAUUGGAUGGGCAUUCAUCCAUCUUUUUAUUACUUUUUUCCCACAUUAGGGAGUGCUAUACAUUUCCACAAGCCAUAACAAAUGGUCCCAUUUGCUAUGGGAUUUGCUGUCAGCUGGGACACAGACUGUGGUAUGUCUUUACUACCAAAAAGAUUUCUGUUUUAAAGCAGGGGAAUCAUUAUGCAUUACUAUCCUGCUCUAAAAUCCCAGUAGUGUCGAAUACAGUUUUUACUACACUGUACUUCAGUGAUGCUAGCACUGAACUUUACAAAGAGAGGUGACAUUACCCAGUAUUUUAGAAUAAAACCAAGAAAAGUUUGUUUCCUUGAGGGUUUUACUUGGGGUGGGGGUGGGGAGUGAGGAGCGGCAGAAGAAUCUCUUUCAGUUAUAACAAAGACAAAAUAACCCUCUCUUGUGGGAAGUGGUGGGAUCUAAAGUAGAUCAGAAACGGUGGUAGUGGUGGGGAAGUCAAGUCUCAUUGACUCAUCCUGUACACCCCUGCGUCUUGAUUCUCAUGAUGUACCCAUUGAAUGGAUUCUGUAAUUUUCAGAUAAGGUCAGCUUUUCCACAAGUGUGCAUUGCUAUGAAUCCCCUGCAGUCCAUGGAGCUACGGUACUGACAGGAGUUGAAACAUCAACCUUUUACAAUUUUGCGUUUGUCUGUCUAUGUCACUGCUUUUCCCUUUUUAGCUGUCUAUGGAAGCAUAAUAAAAUUAUUUUUUUGCAGUAUUUAAUUACUGCUUACAUUGGCAUCCUCCAAGAAAGCUUGAACACUCAUGAUUUAUUCACAUAUAGGCUUUAUUCAACAUUUAGCAUUUAGUAAUUUUAUCAUUAAACCUUAAUGGUUUCUAGAACAUGGUCUAUACCUGAAGGGACAUGCCUAUGAAAUUAAAAUGGCAAACCCUGUUGCUGGAGGUGUUCCUUGUGCCACAGAAAGGGUUCUGUUUGCUGUGUAUAUAAGCCAGCUCUCCAAACCAAGAUGUGUUGAUAAAGGGCACAUGCUUUGCUUGAACAACUGCAUCUAUACUUGGGUUUUGCUACCUGUUUCAGUUGAAGGUAAACUACCAGAGUGCUUUCAUAUAUCAGCUUCUUGCUUCAGUCUUGAAGUAAAGCCUUCAUAAAACUUCUAAACUUGAUUAAAAAAGAAGAGGAAGGAGAAUUACCAAUGUCUGUGUUUGGUUGCUGCCAUGUAAGUCAAGUAAAAAGAAAUUACACCUACUCUGGGUGGAAUGGUGAUUCAGGUCGUUCACCUUUGAAGUUGAAGAGCCUCUAAAAGGAAAUGUGGUCCUGUUUCUAAGUGGACGUGUGGAAGGCUGACAUUAACACCUCGCACUGAAGAAACUGUUCUCUCCAUCCCUUUUCACAACUGACUAAACACAAACAGCACUAGUUUAACAAAGAACCACAGACAGCAGGACGGAUUAUAGCCCAGCUGAAUGAGGAGCUUGGUUCAACAAGGGAAAUGAUGGUCAGGUUAAUCACAGAUCAUAUUUCCCCUACCCACUGAAGCCCUUACAUUACAUUAUACAUGUCAUUGUGCUACUUUUCUAAAACAUCAGCCCAGAGCCUGGAUUCUCCACUAGCCUCAUUAGCCCUUGGAGCAGACUCUGCUGACUUGAAGGUCCACACCUGUGCCACCUCUGCUGCAUGAGCGGUCAGUGUAAAAAUACAUUAAAAGAGCAAGAGAGCAGCAGAAUUUUAAGUGUGUCAGUAUCUCCUUCGUAGCUACAUUGCUGAGCCAUUUUAACCACAGCAUGAAAGAUUCCUUUAUUUAACAGGACAGGUGUGUACUUUAAAAGAUCACUUGACAGUUACCUUUGACAGAUGUUCCAGUAGCUUAGGUCACCUAAUUUGGACACAAAGUCAGAAGUAACAGCUAGCAUAAAUCUCUAAUUUGCCUGCUCUGGUAUUGUUUUAAGAUAACCCUAUCUGCCUCACUACAUUUUUUCCCAAUUACUCUAUGAGGUUUGAUUGCAUUGAAGGAGAUAAAGACCUCAGGAAAAGCUUUUGGCAUUCAAGACUUCAAGCCAAAUAUUUUUAUUAAGACCUUUCUCACACUGUGAGUAUUAAGUAUUUAUAGCCAUACCGGGCCAAGAACAAGGCAGCGCUCAGGUGCUUCAGCUGGAUUCUUUCUAUUAAGUUGGCAGACCUGACUAUUUUAAUGACACCAUAACUCCAUUCACUUAACAUGAGACAGAAAAAACAUUACGAGUGACCAUUUAAACUCUAGUUCUCCGUUUCCCAAAUCUGCCUGAAAACUCUUGGAAAUCACAGUGAUAAUACCUAAAAACAGCCAACAGGCGUGUGUCUGUGUGCCACGCCGGGGCGUCCUGCAGGACCUUCCACAGGGCUGGAGACAGCAACUGCUGCAGGGGGGGACGCUGCCUGCUGCUGCUUCCAGUGGGCAAAGUGCCUUUGACAUCUUUGUCUUUGCAUUCUUCAGGGUAAAUACAUCUAUAUGUUUUCUUGGCGGGCGCUUUGUGUACGUUGCCCAUUUAAAUCAGAAAUGGAAAUUUAACUUCAGGCUAACAAAUGUAGGGCAAGUUUGAGGAAAAAAGUUGGAAGCCUCUAACAUGGCCAUUAUAAAGCCUUUAAAAAUAUUUACUGAAGUUCCUUUGGUUUGGCCUAAAACCAUCAUAGAUUAAGUGUAUCAAAAAGAGUCCAAGGAUGACCACAAUGAAGAUUUAUUUUUUUAUGAAAAAAAUAAUAUAGACCACAGGACUUCCAGCAAGCAUUUUGGAGCUGGUCUUUUGGAAGUACUUGCCUAGGAGUAAAGGAAAGGAAGAGAAAGAGGCCAGAAAAAAAUGAAACAGAAGCGGAAGGCUGAGCAUGGCUAGCUUUCAAAUCAGGAUGGUAUAAGGUGCAUGAAGAGACAGGAGUCAGGAUUGUAGCCAGGAUACGACUGACUUAAAAAAACAAGAUGAAGUGCAGAACAUAAUAGCUCCCUCUAAAUUAAGCUGACAAAAAUACAGGGCAGAUAAGUGGGAUGUGUCGCAGGUAAAAACAAUAAUUAUGAGAAGGCUGGAAGACUAAUAGUUGGCAGAAUAUUCUAGGACAAUUCUGAUUUGCAAACAUCCUUUCAGUGGCUGUAGGCAUUUCCUGCUUUGGCUGCAGUUUACUCAGAUGUGUAAUGGAAACAGGAAAAGAUACUCAAAGUUAAAUGCAGUCUUUUGAAAAGUGUGAAUGUAAGUAUAUAUAAACCAUGGGCUGUUUUUAAAGUCCAAUGGAAAAUGCAUACAUUCAGGAAAUGGUAUAAAAUGGCAUAACCAUAUUAGAUGGGAAUAUAGCCAUUUACCUUAGGUGAGUAUUUGGCUCUUUUUUGCUCAUGUUGUGCCAAGACUUUCACACUCUCAGGGUGAUUUUAUUAAUAUACUGCUAGCUAUUUAUUGAACUCCACCUGGCAGGGUUCAAGUACUUCUUCAGAGAGGCUGAAAGUCCUGAGCUGACACGGGAAACAAUGUACCUCAGAACUGGCCCGAGCAUGUUUUGCACUGUAGAAGAUGGGACCCUUUGUGUUCAUCUUAAAUGAAGUUGAUGUCUUGAUUUUAUUUGAUAGUUUCACAUGAAAUGACCUUGAUGCAUUGAAGUGCAAGAUUACUAAUCAGAAAUAUUAUGAGUACUAGAAAGCAUAUGUGGAACAAAAGGACAGGUACCCCGGCUUUGGGGUUAUAAAAGUCACUUUGGGCAAGGACUUCUGCUUCUGUCUUUAUUUGAUUAACACUGAGCAUGUUGAGCCCUGGCUCUGCGGCUGUAGUAUUUGUCAGUCUUCACCAGUCCAACAAUGUAACACAAGGUGUGUGCACAUAUAAAACUUCUUGCCACAUCUUAAACUGGCAUCUAAUUAGAGCUCAGAAGUAAACCCUAAGAAACGAAUGGAACUAGCUGUGUGUUUCUGAACACUGCCACAGCAGAACUGAGGACGGAGGUGUUGACAACCCCCUGAACUCAAUUCUCAGGCUGGUCCCUACAGAGAGGGCACGUACCGUGGCAUGAAAGGAUGAGUACAGCAAGCUCCUGACCCGCUGUUGAGCCAGGACAUGUCUCCUGGACCUCCCUGGCAUGGAGUGAGGGAGGAAGCUGACUAAGGUGAUAGCAAUCCCCAUCACUCCCCACCUACACAGCAUUUACAGGAAAGCUUACUUUCCAGAAGACAGGGUUUUAUCUGAGAUUGCAAUACGAACUUAGAACCACAUCUUGAUUUAAUUAAAAAGCUUGUACUGCAUGGAAUCAACAGGGAAAGGAUUGAAACAUGGGUGACUUAGAGAUACAAAAAGGAGUUGUUAUUAUUAGGAACAUAUUAAAAAAGCCUAGCAUUUUUAGUCGGCUCGGCAAAGAGUGGCUUCAUCUGAUGAAACAUCAUUCUAGACACUGACAUCUCAUCUGUGCCAAUCACGCAUGCAGAUGACAGAGGAAUUGGCAGGGUAGUAAAUAAGGAAAAAAGUUACCUGUGCUAUGCAAGCUGAACCGCUUAAUUAGGUUGUCAUGGUGAGCACGAUGUAUUUUAAUAAAACUAAACAGAAAAUAAUACUCAUGGAGCAAAAUUGCAAGUUCUGGUUUAAGGAUGGGAGACCAUCUUGGCAAGCAGACACACAGGGACAUAUUUUGUGAUUUGUGGUGAUCACCUCGAGGUGAAUGCUCAGAGGAACUCCACGGGCAAGGAGGCAAACGACCUGCAGACAUCUGCAGAUAUCUUGGAUCUUGGGGGUACAAAAACAGGGCAGAGAAGUGGCUGUGCCCAUACAUGCAAUGCUGGGUAUAAAACAUUAUGCCCAAACAGGAUAGUUGCAUUUCAGGAGGAAAUCAGAACUUUGAAAAAAAGAAAAAAUACAAUAAAAUGGAGUAAAAAAUACAGGGCUAUAUCAUUAUAUGCAAGGCAUUAAAUGUACAAGUUUAGAAGAGAAUACUACUAUGGAUAGACACUUAAACACUGAACAGCUAUUUGGUGCUGUGAGUUUUUGACCUUUCCAUAAAGGCAUAAUAAAAUCUAAUCACUGGGAAGUGGAGUUUGAGAAACGGAACCUCAGAAUAAGAUGUAAUUAAGAUGAUUAACUCCUGGUAUCAUCUUUCUGUUGGAUGCUCCACUCUGCCAUCAUGGUUUUGUGUCUCAAGAAAUUUUGAGAAAUGUAUGUCCAGCCAAAAUUUCAAAUUUGACUUUAAUUUACAGAAGAAAAUCUGAUUAAACAAAGACAAAGAAGCCAAUCAAACUAGCUAAGAACUACCUCUGUAUUCUUUAAACCACCUUGGUCCUUACCUGCUUGUUUAUGUUAAUGCUCAUACCAAGCAGUUAAUGCAAAAGAUCACAUAAUUGCAAGAAUCAAAGCAUUACUCUUUAAAUCAUUAAAAUCCCUAAAAGUAAACAUAAACGAAGCCUACAAUAAUAUUUUAUUACAAAUCCAUUACCCAUCCAAACUAAAAUGCUCACUUAAUGAACAGAAAUAUCUAACCACGCUAACUGUUUGGAUGUAUUUUGGCUUUCUUUGUGUUAGAGCAUAUUUCACACCUCAAAUGAAUCCAUCAACUGUUUACUUCAGAAUGCCAGGCUUAUUAUGUCCACUGUUUUUUUACCAGCCUAUAAAAUCUGUUUGUCUUUUACAUUUUAAGGAAAUAGAGGGCGUUUCAUAAACACCAUAUGUACUACUGAAGACAAGACCUUCCACAUUGUUAGGAGUCUUUAUUCCGUGCCGUUGAAAUAGAUCUUGGGUUUAGAUGGGUCAAAGUUCCUAAAAAAACCCCACAAACUCUCCCUAAAAAUAUAUUAAGAAUGGAUUAACCUUUGUGAUAUAACUUUUGUGGAGGUGCAGGAUAAUUUCUUUAUAAGGUAUGACCCAGCCAUUAGGCCAUUUACCCUUUUAGCAGAGCAAUCAUUACAAAAAAGGUUGUGCUGAUAGGGUAGAUACUAGUUAAUAACAUGUAUGUCUCAGGGUUAAACUUAUUCUUUAGCACCUGCGUGCAUCUAAAUAAAAUGUAUGAAGCCAAUAUGAUAUUUCAUUCACUGUUGGGAGCAAGUCUGCCGAAGGAAGUAGAUUUAGUGAUAAUAACAUAAAGAAUAGGCUGUACUGGUGAUGGCAGCGGGUGGGUGACCUCCCCCUUCGUCACCCAGCUCCCCUGCAUCCCUACCAUAUCUGCCCUUGAUGGGAGACGUAAGAUCCACAUAGACCUACAAUUCCUGGUUUUGAAAUUAACACCUCCACUGAGCACCUGCAGUGAAAGCUGGACAAGUUGGUUGACUCUUCCUCUAGCUAAAUACUACCUUGUAUUAUUUGGGUAUUAACUUGACUUCUAAGAUGAGAAUUACUUGAGUCAGCACCCUGACAAGUGUUCUAUCAUUGCACAUGGGGACAAAAAAGAUAAAAGAUAAUUUUUCAACUAGAAGUACUCCUGUGUGAUUGCCGUGUGUGCCAUUAUUGUGGUUUGAUAGCGUGCAUGUUUCUGAAUGAUAAAGUAUGAAAUUUUACAUAGUAAAAUAUAUAAAAAUCUGCUCUUGAAAGUUAUAAAUCUCUAGAUUAAUUUAGCUUGGGAAAGAAGGUUAAAGAAAAGCUAAAUACCUGCAUAUGUGUGAGUGUAUGCACCUGCAUGUGCGUGUAUGUGCGUGUGAUUGUAAGGGACUUCUGUGUUAACAUUUCUGAUAGGGGGGCAUUUAUCUAACAAACCAUAAUUAGACAAAUCUCGACUUUAAAUAGGACUGUGGCCGUAAGAUAAGGCAUGUAAAAAGCAAUUUGCUAUCUGGUACUGUCAGGGAGGAAACAUGAAAUUCUUACAGUGACUUGCUCCAGCAAACACAUUCUUAGCAAAAUGAGUGUCAGAGGGCUAGACCCAGAAGAAUUUAGAAUAAAAAUAAGAGGCACAGUUUGUGUAGUGAGGUUAAUUAACCACUAAAAUUACUUAAUAAAGUGUAGUUGAGUCUUCAGAACUUGAAAUUUCUAAUCAGGACGUACAGUGUUCUCUACAAUAUAACCUAGCUUAGCUCAGGAUUAUGAGCUUUUGGUAAGAAUCUAUGGGGAGAGUCUGAUCUUUCUAUGGGAUGAUCUUCUGGCCUUAAAAAUGUCCAAAAUAAUUUUUUAAAAUAAUACUGACAGACGUACGGACCUUGGCCAGUGUCUGAGCACUGCAGUCAGUGUAUUCCCCCAGUCUGGCUUGGUGGAACUUUAUCUCACAUCCUGGGCUGUGACGCCUUGCUGAACUGACACAAAGGGGCUGAUAGCAUCCCAUGAUGUGGAGAAGCAACCCAACCAAAACUUCAGAUGUUCCAGUUUACAUCUUUUUUGAGAAGUGCUGUAUUAUCUCCAUCACACAUAGGCAUUGAUAAAGAAGCAAGUGUCUGACUCUGAGUGGGAGGGAGAGCCCGAUGACCCCCAGAGGUCCCUUCUACCCAACAUUUCUAUGCAUCUGUGAGUUUGCUUGCUCAUUAUUACUUAAAAUAUGUACAUUCUCAAGCCAGUCACUAAAUCUGAGUGCAGUCACUAAAGUGCUUUUUUGUUGCUUAUAACCUCCACGAGCAGAAGUUAGUCUUACAUAAUUAGUACUUUACUCGACAUUCCCAAGUAAAAUAAUUCAGACUUUUGUGACAAAAAGUUGCCAGCUUUCUCCACACUUCUGUGGAUCUCCCUCAUAUAGGCUUGGAAAAUUUCAGACAUACCUGAAAUGAAUGGUGGGUACAGGUUUUUAUAAACUUUGGAAAUGGAGAUUUACAAAAAUUAAUUAUUAAUGUGUGUAAUUCUGGACACUAAAAUUAUAAAAAGUUUAUUUUGAAGUGCCAUACUUCACACUGUUUUUAAGUUUUUCUAAUUAAAGUUAUUGUUAAUGUUUUGUUGAAAACAAGACCUAACUUUUCCUGCUUAUAAAUGCAGAUAUGAAAAUAUUUAAAAUGAAAUUUUACAGUCCAAAUAGCUGGCACAGCAUAGUACUUUCACCAUCUGUACUUCCAUUUUUGCUUUGUGUAUCCUUAUACUUACAGAGUAGAAGAACAACAACGCAAUGCGGUCAUUCUUUGAUGGGCAGGUCUUCGAAGAAGCACUAUCAAAUUCAGGGUUUUUUUGUGUCACUGUUGUUUUAAAACCCACACUAGAUAUAGAAUGGAUUAAGUAGGAAAUCAAAGGCAAAACAGGACUCAUUCUUGCAUGAGGAAACACACAGGAUAUUAAGUUAACUCCAAACUAAGAUAAAGACGGUGAAUCAUAUGUAAGAAAGGAAUACAAACAGCAGGACUUUUCUGUAACUGUCAAAAAAUAUUUUCUUUUUAUAUAUAAGUGUAUAUAUUUAAAACUCUCGCUCUUCUAAUAUCCAUGAGAGAACUAAAGGUGCCUGGGAAAAUAAAUCAUGUGAGAAUUUCAGUACUGGCUGCUGCAGAGCCCAGAGGAGGUUUGGACAAUGCUUUGGAAAAGUGAAGUGUUGUGGAAAAUAUUACAGUGUUGUGGAAGAAGUAAUAGUUUAUUAAACAUAAGGGCCGCAAAAAUGAAAUUAUGUGUGGUCUGGCAAAUGUUUUCUUUUUAAAGUUAUGCAUCCUGCUCAUCCAAAAAUAUGCUAGAAGAACCCAGAGCUAGUUGAGGACCAGCAGCUGUACGUGUCUGCUGAGCACAACAGUCAGAGGGUGUUAAUGCAGAUCUGCUCUCGGUCCUUCUCUGACGCAGAUUACAGCCAUA